rnacentral:rRNA from 1 species
AUGCAAAGGCACAAAAUAUCAUUGGUGGCAGGAGGCCACACGUCUGCCCCGCCCUCUCUCCGCAAAGGCACUGCGUCGCUCGGAAUCAUCAUGGCCUGGACCCUCUAGAAGCACAGGAACGCAUGCAUAUUCGACAAUGCUCGGCCCUCCACUGCCGAGACCACCCAAGCCGCCCUUGCCGAGGCUAGGUUUUGGGCUAUGGCAGGAGCCAAAGGGCUACGUGUACUCAUUUUCGAACCGCCUUGA